rnacentral:rRNA from 1 species
UACGUAGGGUGCAAGCGUUGUCCGGAAUUAUUGGGCGUAAAGAGCUCGUAGGCGGUCUGUCGCGUCGGCUGUGAAAACUCGGGGCUCAACCCCGAGCCUGCAGUCGAUACGGGCAGACUAGAGUGCUGUAGGGGAGACUGGAAUUCCUGGUGUAGCGGUGAAAUGCGCAGAUAUCAGGAGGAACACCGGUGGCGAAGGCGGUCUGCUGGGGUGAGGCUGACGCUGGAGGCGCGACAGCGUGGGGAGCAAACAGG